CAUAAACUUCACAAUCUUUUGCUUAGGUGUUGCCUUGGUGGGAGCCUUAGCAGCAGCCAUUGCUAUCUUUUCAGAUGCUUGCUUAGCAUUUUUUGCUUCCUUGGCAGCCCUGAUGGCUUGUUCUUGUUGAGCCUUCCUAAUUUCAGUUUUCUGAUUCCUCUUGGCCAUUAUAUCAGCAAGAGAUACACCAGUGAUGGCCCUCUGGAAUUUAACUGCAUGGUGGGCUCUUUUCUUUUGAAUUUAUUCCAACUGUCCCUUUUUGUGCUUUCUUCUGUAGAGGACAGUCCAGUUUAUCUGCUGAAAAUUCCUCUUAGAAAGGAAUGCUGACUCGCAUUUUGCAUUAAGAAAUUGGAAAGCCUUCCUGUUAGUCCUGGUGUAGUGUCUCCCAUGUCCAGGGUAAAUCUUGUACCCACUGAAACUGCAAAGCUUGAACUUUUUGGCUGCAACAGCCAGGAAUAAAGAAAGAUUGGCAAAGCACAACUCUGAACUCCCA